GUGGGUGUAGCUCAGUUGGUAGAGCCCCAGACUGUGACUCUGGUUGUCGAGGGUUCGAGCCCCUUCAUCCACCCCA
rnacentral:tRNA from 1 species